GCGGGUAUUGCUCAGUGGUAGAGCACAUGCUUAUCAUGAAGGAGGUCCUGGGUUCAAUCCCCGGUACCUCCA
rnacentral:tRNA from 1 species